AUUGAACGCUGGCGGCAGGCCUAACACAUGCAAGUCGAGCGGAUGAAGGGAGCUUGCUCCUGGAUUCAGCGGCGGACGGGUGAGUAAUGCCUAGGAAUCUGCCUGGUAGUGGGGGAUAACGUCCGGAAACGGGCGCUAAUACCGCAUACGUCCUGAGGGAGAAAGUGGGGGAUCUUCGGACCUCACGCUAUCAGAUGAGCCUAGGUCGGAUUAGCUAGUUGGUGGGGUAAAGGCCUACCAAGGCGACGAUCCGUAACUGGUCUGAGAGGAUGAUCAGUCACACUGGAACUGAGACACGGUCCAGACCCCUACGGGAGGCAGCAGUGGGGAAUAUUGGACAAUGGGCGAAAGCCUGAUCCAGCCAUGCCGCGUGUGUGAAGAAGGUCUUCGGAUCGUAAAGCACUUUAAGUUGGGAGGAAGGGCAGUAAGUUAAUACCUUGCUGUUUUGACGUUACCAACAGAAUAAGCACCGGCUAACUUCGUG
rnacentral:rRNA from 1 species